rnacentral:lncRNA from 1 species
UUCCCAGGGCAUUUCGGGUUGAACCGAAGACGAAGUAAAGGCCUGAUAGUGAUUAUGCAGCUUUAUACUGGGAAGCAUAUUGUAUCCUGAUAUGGGGGAUUACUGCAGGCUCUUUGAUAUCCAUGGACCCUCUAGGGGCUGAAGCCUAGUCCCUCCCCAGCUGAGGAAUGUCAACUCCAUCGCUGAGCCCUCCUCCAGACCUCCCUUUUGCUGCCACCUUGUUCCUGCCCCUCCCUGCCAUCGUUUUCUUGGUUGUCGGUUCCUACCUGCUGCUCCUCGUCCUGGUCCUGGUCCUCCGACAGUGCCUGCUGGUAACUGGAAGAUGGGAUGGAGACAGCAAA